UGGGGGAUAUUGCACAAUGGGGGAAACCCUGAUGCAGCGACGCCGCGUGAGUGAAGAAGUAUUUCGGUAUGUAAAGCUCUAUCAGCAGGGAAGAAAAUGACGGUACCUGACUAAGAAGCCCCGGCUAACUACGUGCCAGCAGCCGCGGUAAUACGUAGGGGGCAAGCGUUAUCCGGAUUUACUGGGUGUAAAGGGAGCGUAGAUGGCAUGGCAAGUCAGAUGUGAAAACCCGUGGCUCAACCACGGGACUGCAUUUGAAACUGUCAAGCUGGAGUGCAGGAGAGGUAAGUGGAAUUCCUAGUGUAGCGGUGAAAUGCGUAGAUAUUAGGAGGAACACCAGUGGCGAAGGCGGCUUACUGGACUGUAACUGACAUUGAGGCUCGAAAGCGUGGGGAGCAAACA
rnacentral:rRNA from 1 species